rnacentral:rRNA from 1 species
UACAGAGGGGGCAAGCGUUGUUCGGAAUUACUGGGCGUAAAGGGCGCGUAGGCGGCCUGUUAAGUCGAACGUGAAAUCCCCGGGCUCAACCCGGGAACUGCGUCCGAUACUGGCAGGCUUGAAUCCGGGAGAGGGAUGUGGAAUUCCAGGUGUAGCGGUGAAAUGCGUAGAUAUCGGAAGGAACGCCGGUGGCGAAAGCGAUUCUCUGGCCCGUCCCUGACACUGAGGCGCGAGAGCUAGGGGAGCAAACAGG